UGGGGAAUAUUGGACAAUGGGCGCAAGCCUGAUCCAGCAAUGCCGCGUGAGUGAUGAAGGCCUUAGGGUUGUAAAGCUCUUUCGCACGCGACGAUGAUGACGGUAGCGUGAGAAGAAGCCCCGGCUAACUUCGUGCCAGCAGCCGCGGUAAUACGAAGGGGGCUAGCGUUGUUCGGAAUUACUGGGCGUAAAGGGCGCGUAGGCGGCCUGUUUAGUCAGAAGUGAAAGCCCCGGGCUCAACCUGGGAAUAGCUUUUGAUACUGGCAGGCUUGAGUUCCGGAGAGGAUGGUGGAAUUCCCAGUGUAGAGGUGAAAUUCGUAGAUAUUGGGAAGAACACCGGUGGCGAAGGCGGCCAUCUGGACGGACACUGACGCUGAGGCGCGAAAGCGUGGGGAGCAAACAGAUUAGAUACCCUGGUAGUCCACGCCGUAAACGAUGAAUGCUAGACGUCGGGGUGCAUNCACUUCGGUGUCGCCGCUAACGCAUUGAGCAUUCCGCCUGGGGAGUACGGCCGCAAGGUUAAAACUCAAAUGAAUUGACGGGG
rnacentral:rRNA from 1 species